AGUGAGCUUAGGACACAGGAAGAGACAGUGUUACAAUCAGAGUCCAAGGCAAAAAACAAAAAAUCAAAAGCCCUGAAGCAGAUAUCUCCUCUUGAAGGGGUCUGGUCGGAAGAAUUGGCUGUUUUGGUAACUCUCAGCCUCUUUGUUCUACCAAGCUUUCAACUGGCAGAAUGAGGUCCUCCCUCAUGCGGAGGGUAAACUGCUCACUCAGCCUGACUUGGUGUCACUCUUAUCUGAAAACACCCAGAAAAGGUUAGCUCAGGGCCCGAUCAAGCCAACAGAAGGCAAGAAAGUUAUCAAAGAUCAGAGGCUGUUUUGUCAAAAGAGCACAGAAGCAGCACAGGAGGACCCACUGGCCAAGGACAGAAUGAUUGGAGGAUCAAAGAAAUACCAGGCCCCUGAUAAGAUGGCUGGGGGAGGGGGGAGGGGGAGGAGAGGGGGGAGGAGGAAUUACUUUCUUAACUUGUCCUCAAGACAGUAAAUAACAGAGGCUAGGGCUGUAGCUUAGUGGUAGAGUGCUUGCCUUUGCGUGCAUGACAUCCUAGGUUCAAUCCCCAGUACU
ensembl:antisense Gm27231 predicted gene 27231